GCUUAGCCCUUAACACAGACAAUACCAACACAAUAUUGCCCGCCAGAAGAUUACUAGCGAAAAGCUAAAAACUCCAAGGACUUGGCGGUGCUUCACAUCAACCUAGAGGAGCCUGUCCUAUAAUCGAUACCCCCCGCUUUACCCAACCCCCCCUUGUCAAAACAGCCUGUAUACCGCCGUCGAAAGCCUACCUUUUGAAAGAGACAAAGUUGGCAGAGCAGUUAAUAACUAGCACGUCAGGUCAAGGUGUAGCCCAUGGGGCGGAAGAGAUGGGCUACAUUUUCCCGAACAAAACACGAAUAACACAAUGAAACAUGUACUUAAAGGUGGAUUUAGUAGUAAGACAAACAAGAGAGGUUGUCUAAAACACGCUCUGAAGCACGC
rnacentral:rRNA from 1 species